GGUACAAUGGAUUUUUAUCACGCUACCUGUACACACUGGCCAGCCAAUGCCAGGAUAGUCUGUGUCAUCAGUACAGCAGGGGGUUUUGUGUGUGCGUGAGCAUAGCCACUGACAAAUACGUAAUUAUAAUUGUUUGUACUUUUCAUUUGACUCAUUGGAUCAGGCAUGUAAUGAAGUGGACCUUAGCCAACAAAAGCUUGCUUGCUUAUUUGUUUAUUUAUUUCAUACCAUUUAUAUACUGCUUGAUUGGGGGGGAACUCUGAUAAUAUGUACAUUUCUUGGGCUUUAAGGUGCCUGAAUGCACAUUGUUUUCCUUUUCGUUUCUCCCCCUUCUCCAUCAGUAUAUAGCAGGGUAUGUUAAACUUGUUUGUACUGCUGGACCUUAUAUGUUGUUGUUCUCAUCCAAGUGGCAGCUCACACUCCCCUCCCCCAAUUAAUUUGGUUUUCUUGAUGUGCAGAUAAUGUGGUAAGAGAAAAAAAAUCUACAUGAAAUUGCAUGUUACCCAACUGAAGAACAUUAUGUGAUUGGGGUUGUUUAGGGGUUUUUUUUAGUGUGGUGUUAUUUUGCCAGGUGCGGCCCUCUAUCACCACACCCCCUAUAUGCACUCCUCAGUGAGCUGCUGUUGGCACAUACAUUAUUAUUUUUUAAAGCAACUAUUGUGUGUAUCUGGUGUACUGGAAAACUUGUAUUUCAAUCUUUAAAAAAAUGCCUGAUAAGCUCUUCAUCUUUCUUUCUGCACAUUUAUUAAUUUAUACCUCCAUUUUUCACUUUACUGAAAACAACAAUACCCAGAUAUUUUAAAAACAAUCAGAAUGCUCCAGGAAUUGGGGGGAGGAGAGUUGGUGAUGUUACACAUGUUAGCCAACAGGUACCCUCAGUAGUCAGUUUUUUGCUUAUUCAAACUGGAGACUUCAAAACUAGUUUCGCCUGAGACAAACAGAAACGGUUAGAUUUGUACUGAGCAUGGGGAGGACACUUUCAAAUGCCCCCACUACAUCAUUGUGUCACCCCUCAAAGUUAUAUGGACUUCAGCUUUUAUUUCCUUUGGUACGUGUUUUCCAUCCAUGAAAACCCUUUUGGUAUUCUGACCAUUGAAACUACAAGAGGGAGAAACAACCCAACUCUUGCUUUGAACAAUCUAUGAUAACCAUCAAAUUUGCUGUAACGAGUUUCUGUGAAACCUUUUCAUUUAUCUGAGAGUACAACUGUUUCCUUCCUUGUUUGACCCUGAAGGCAAUGACUGUAAUAGCAGUGGAAGUGCCGAAUCACAGGCAUUUAGACAAAAGGACUUUGUAUCCUGCGUCUUGGCAUAGUCAACCAGCUUUUCAGCAGAAGCUGUGCACUCCACCUAUUCUAAUUUUUAAAAAGGUUUUGAAGAGCAAAACAUUUGAGUUAGAAACUCUGACUCCUGUGAUGGAACUAGGCUGAAAUUCAGGGGCAACAGAACCACUAACAGUGCAAUCUUUUCCACAUCUCCUCAGAAGGAGGCCCCAUUGUUUUCAAUAGGACUUACUCCCCAGAAAGCAUGUAUUGCCAGUCUCACUUUGGACACCAUGGCUGCCUUGGAAUGGGUUGCCCAAAGCAACUUCAAUGCUUGGGUGCUGACAUGGAUGCUCCUUUGUUAAAUUAUUCCACCUGCUGCACCAUUGGUUCUUUGAUAUCAUGCAAACAGAAGAAAUUAAGUCCAUUUGAAACAGGAGUGUUGCAAGUAAGAAGUUAGCACUUUCAGGACACUUAAAACUAGAGGGAAGGGGACUUCCCAAGCUUCUAUAAACAAAUGUGAUAUUUAUAGUUAAUAAAUACCACAUUUAAUUAUGUGUUUGCUUGUGCCAUGGAAAUAGAAAACUUUGGUUGUAGAUUAUCGCAGGCAGUCACUGGUUUCCUUUUUUUCCUUUCUCUUUUAGCAAACAUCCUACUACAUUACCACCUGACAGACCUACAGCAUCACACUGAUAAGUUCUCAUAUUCAUUCUGUUGCUUACAACCAGCACCAGCACAAUUGUGCUACCUCGUUUUGGCACCUCUGGUGCCAGGUGACUGCCAACUCCUCCUUAGGCAGCAACCUCAUGUUAGAUAGUCUUGCUGCUAUCGCAGUCUAAAAGACAUGGUACACAUGGAAAAGGGGAUGGGGAGGAGAGAGAAAAAAGCAACUUCAUGCACCAGUUCUUCAAGUUACAGUUCUUGUAAUUACCCGUUGGGAUGGAAACAGGUUCAAGUAGGCUCAUGAAGGAGCUGCCAGUGGGUGACAGUUGGAGAGAGUCAAAGGAAGCUGGUCCUCUCAACAGAGGUGAUGAAACAGCCCUGUUUCCCCUUCCCCUUCCUCCCUCUGAUCAGUGGCCUGAUGGAAGGUUGCCGUUAGGUGACAGAAGGUACCAGAGUCAAAAGGCUUAAAUCAGCAAUAGUCUGAUUAACAUCUUGGCAUGCUAAUCAACUGCAGCACAGGGAAAUAUACAAAAUGGAAGCAUCUUCUGACACAAGAGUGAGCCUGGCAUGACUCUGCAUCUUUUGGACCAGUUCCUGAAAAGACUUGGCAGCAUACACAACUCUCAUUUCGCUUUAGUGCCCAACCCAGUUACUCAGCACCUUUUUGAAUUUUGAAGAGUCGUAAUUAGAGAACUCUAAGCGAAAGCUGUGAAACGGGGGUCUUCUACCACGCCAAGCAUUUAUGCAAGUCCAGGCGCUCCUGCUCUUCAACAGAUUUUCUUUGUAGACUAAAAGACAUAUUACUUUUGAGAUGCACAGCUCCACUAUGGAUAAGCUGCAAGCAGGUUCAGUCAGAAUGUGGUAUGCACCUCAAGCGGCAGAUUACAUCUCCCCAUAUGUCACCCAUGAGGCUACCUUGUGACACCGGCAUCAUAAUGCGACUUACCUGCACCACCCACCUGCCUGUCUUCUGUAUCCAUUAUGCCACCACUUACCAGCCCACCUGCAAGAAAUGGAGGGGUGUGCCACUGCUGUGAUGGAAGCAACCAGGGGUGAUCCAUCAGAGCUCUUCACUUUUAGUUAAACCAAGUUGCACUCUAGCAUUUUGAAACAGACAGAAAACAUAGGAAUAUGCAUUGUGCCAGAUCAGACCUGUUGUACAUCUUCUGUUGCCUACACAAGGGGUGGGGAAUUGGAUCUGGCUUGCAGGGUGCCCAUUUGUAUAUCCAGACGAAAAGCAGACCCAGCUUGUAAAAAUGAAACAACCUCUAAAACAAAGGAAUAAAUAAAGCAGCACUUAUUUCUGAGGCUCAAGGUGUAGCCUAGGGAAAAUAAAAUAAUAUAAAAAUCACACACAGACACACACACACACACACACACACACACUAUUUUAAGUAGCAACAUAAACCUCACAGAUACAUAAACCACUACAGUAACUCAUAUGCAAGUCUCACUAGUCAGGGGAGAUAUAUAUAUAUAUAUUAUAAUAUUCCAUUGGCAGCAACUGACUGCAGAGGUAAUUGGAUUUAACUUAUAUAAAAGUUUUCACUCUGGGUACUUCCUUGCAAAUGAGUCACUAUAGCAGUUUAUGUAUUUGGUGAGAAUUGCUACUUAAAACACAGACACAGCAUUUCCUGUAGGAAUGAAGGCACUUGGGUGGGGAAGAAUGCUGAGACAAGGCAAUAUCCUUUUCCCAGCAAAAGACCUACAAUGUGAUACGACGUGGAUAGUACUGUACAGUAUGCAAACUACCUUCAGAAGGUCUUAGGUGACACAUGUUCCUUGAAUGCAGCCUGGGACGAUGGCUUCUCUGUGUUGGAAGCACCUGUCACAGAUGAAGCAGAGAUGAGCUUGCAUCCCAUUUGACUUGAUUUGAAACACACCAUUUUUUACUGGAGGCAGUUAAUAGAUUGGAUUGCAAGUUGUUCUGUGAUAGAAACAUUGAGGG
rnacentral:lncRNA from 1 species